rfam:Penicillium steckii strain IBT 24891 PENSTE_contig005, whole genome shotgun sequence.
GCCCCUAUGGCCUAGUGGUAUGGCAUCGUUCUUAUGUUGUUUUCCUUUAAAGAGGAAGCUUCAUGAACUUGGCUAGCGAAGUGCCCCGGUUCGAUCCCGGGUGGGGGCA